rnacentral:rRNA from 1 species
GGUUAAGCGAAUAAGCGUACACGGUGGAUGCCUAGGCAAUCAGAGGCGAUGAAGGACGUGCUAAUCUGCGAUAAGCGUCGGUAAGGUGAUAUGAACCGUUAUACCCGACGAUUUCCGAAUGGGGAAACCCAAUAUCCAAUGGAUAUUAUCAUGACGUGAAUACAUAGUGUCAUGAAGCGAACCGGGAGAACUGAAACAUCUCAGUACCCCGAGGAAAAGAAAUCAACCGAGAUUCCCCUAGUAGCGGCGAGCGAACGGGGAACAGCCCAGAGUCUUAAUCAAUAGCAGCAUCAGGAGAACGGUCUGGAAAGUCCGGCAGUAAAGGGUGAUAGCCCCGUAUCUGAAGAUGCUGUUAUUGUGAACUCGACGAGUAGGGCGGGACACGUGUUAUCCUGUCUGAAUAUGGGGGGACCAUCCUCCAAGGCUAAAUACUCCUGAUUGACCGAUAGUGAACCAGUACCGUGAGGGAAAGGCGAAAAGAACCCCGGCGAGGGGAGUGAAAAAGAACCUGAAACCGUGUACGUACAAGCAGUAGGAGCC